UACGUAGGUGGCAAGCGUUGUCCGGAUUUACUGGGCGUAAAGAGCGCGCAGGCGGUUGAUUAAGUCGGAUGUGAAAGCCCCCGGCUCAACUGGGGAGGGUCAUUCGAUACUGAUCAACUUGAAGGCAGGAGAGGGUAGUGGAAUUCCCGGUGUAGUGGUGAAAUGCGUAGAUAUCGGGAGGAACACCAGUGGCGAAGGCGACUACCUGGCCUGUUCUUGACGCUGAGGCGCGAAAGCUGGGGGAGCAAACGGG
rnacentral:rRNA from 1 species